rnacentral:lncRNA from 1 species
GCAUGCACAAAAAGAAAUCCCAUGUCAAGCUACAUAUGUAUUUUAGUACAUUUAAUAUGGAGAAGGAAACAGGAGCGAAAAGAAUGGCAUGAAGCAGCAGAAGCUCACUCUACCUUACCUCCUGGUCACUGCAGUAUAUAACUCUGAAUUAUUUUCCUGACCCAGGUCUUAACACUUAACAAAUAUGUAAGGACUUAGGAGCCUGAGGCAUGUAAGAGAUGAAAUACAUGACUAAUGUUU